GGAAUAGACGUUUUGUUACACCCAUUAACCCCAGAGUUAAUAUACCAGAGAGUGUUAAAGUGUCUGAGGAGGAACCUAUGCAAUUAGGGGUUGCCAAACUCUCUGAUACUGAGAAAUUACAUAGGAGAAGGGAGGGACUCUGCCUAUACUGUGGUAGGAGAGACCAUAUGGUAAAGGAAUGUCCUUUACUCCCGGAAAACUCUUGCACCUAAGACCUUAUAGGGGACUGGCCUUGGGUGUGAUAUCUAAGUCUCCUAAAUUGCCUCCUAACCGCUUGCUUCUCCCGGUUUCUUUAUAUAUGGGAAAGAUUUGUAUAGUUGACAACAUAUAUGCUCUGGUUGACUCUGGGGCAGCUGAAAAUUUUAUAGACUCUGGCUUUAUAAAGAGAAACAACAUUCCCAUCAGAGAGAAGGAGAUACCCUUGGCCGUUGAGGCCAUAGAUGGUAGACCAUUAAGUUCUCCAGUUGUUACUCAUGAGACUGUACCAUUACACAUGUACACAGGGGUUUUACACUAUGAAACCAUUCGAUUCCAGGUCAUCACCUCUCCCUCUUCACAGUUAGUAUUAGGGUAUCCAUGGUUACGUGCUCACAAUCCCAUUUUUGACUGGGAGACAGGGCAAAUAAAAUCAUGGAGUGAGGCCUGCCACGAGUCUUGUACGUUGGAAGUCACACCUUUAAAUUCUAUUGAGGUACCUACCAGUCCUCCUUUGUCUACGGUUAUACCCCCUCAGUAUUUAUCUCUAAAGACUGUUUUCGAUAAAAGGGAGGCUGAGAAAUUACCGCCUCACAGACCCUAU